UGGCUCUUAUUUUUUUGACUACACAUUCUACCAUUUGCACUUUCCCUAGAGGAGUUAGAAAUGUGUGCAAUGCAUCACACCACAUACUUCAUUUAAAAAAAAAAAAAGGUAUAAUAGCUCAUAUUUCUAGCAUGAAGAGUUUUUCUGAUCAUAGUUUCAGUUCCUACAGGACAAAAGAGGUUGUUCAGUAAGAAGAGAUGAGAAUAAAGGACAUAAAUGUUGUGCAGGAAGCUCUUCUCCCCUCUUUUUAUUUUCUUUCUUAAAGAAAAAGAGAAGCAAGGAUGUGCAUGCAAAUGAUUCUUUUCAAAGUUGAACUGCAGGAGAUGUGGCUUCCUAGAUAUAAGAGGAGUAGGGCAAAUGAUGGCCAGGGGCUGCAGCUGCCCAGUACCACACCCUGAUGUGGGGUUUGUGAGCAAGCUGCUCACACCAAGGAGUCCCCUUGCUCUCCAGAAAUGAAAUAUUUUCAUUGGACAAGAGAUCAGCUGGACCUGCAAAGAUUCCAUUAGGAUACUUAAAGUUAUUCUUUAGGCAGAAAAGACUUCCUAAUGAGGAAAAUCCUGUCACACAUAUGACUUUCAUGGACUGUCGUGGGAGCUGGCUGUGUUCAAUGAGAGGGAUUCAGUCACCUGAAUCCAGGUGUGUGUUAGCAUUUUGGAUGCCUUGGGUAUCUAAAACAUCCUCAAGGGACCAGCAGGACCUUCAGGAGACCUUUUUAUUCUGGAGUGGCAACUAGAAGCCAGUAGGGAAAACUUUCAUCCACCUCAGUUGUUGUUAGGCACCGGUGUUUGGCAACUGAAUCUCGUUUGACAUCCGGGGUCCUCCUACUCUUCCCCAUGGCUCUGAGUGGGUGACAGAAAUGUUCAAAGGGACUCUGAAAACAUUUUUACAGUGAAGGAGCACCUUUCCUUUCCAGCAGUCCCUCAGCCACUGCUGUUCAUUCCCUUGCACUGAAAGAGGAGGAGAAAAAGGAGUUUCCUGCAACAAAAGGUAGCAAACCGUUCUGUGACUAUCACAAGCAUUUCUCGCUGCAUGGGAAGGGGAAGGUUGCAGUCAGGAGAUAUCGUGAGUCAUGUGAACCUAAAGGAAGGGUGAAGUUCGAAGAUCUUAUUCUCCGUUGUCUAAUCAUGGACAGAAAAAAGAAACAUACAUCAGAUGGAGGGACAGUGCUUCCCAAUGAGACUGGUAGUAUUUUGCCUCUACUAUGCACAGGUGCAGAGCAAGACAGACAAUCCCCGAGUCUGAGUUUUUCUUGAUUUGUCACAGUUCUAAUUCCUUAACACAAGUCAAGUUCUGUUUGCAGAGAUGAGCUUUUAGGCUUAAAUGCACAUUUAAAAUUCAAGAGUUUCUUUUUUUUUUUUUUUUUUUUCUUUUAUUUUUUUUUUUCAAAGUCAGGGAAUUAAGAGUGUUUCUAGAUAUUAUUUUCUGUUUGUCCGAAUUAUCCACCAUAAUUAAAUAGACAGGAUACUUCACCUUCCUUCCCUAAAAACAACAUGCUUUAGCAUGCAGUUCUUCCUGCAAAGAGUUAAUUGAAGCAAAUAAAGUUCUUAAAUUGUUAAUAAUCCUCACAAUUUGAUCUUGUUCUUUUUCCCCCUCAAGCAGUAAGAGGAUAAGUGCGAGUGAUAGCCAGAUUUAUAAAUUAUUUCUUGUGAGCUGAAUGCUUUAAAAGGGAAUAUAAAAAUCUGCUAUGUGUCAGGCGAUCCAUGGAGGCAUUAGCAAGCGUGGCUGAUUCUCAGUCCCCUGAAAGCAGGAGUGAUAAUUUGUAAAUCUAGGAACUGUACGUGGAGAAUGGUAAUUUGUCAUUAGUAAGAUUAACAUGAUCAAGGGAAUAGAAUAGAUUAUUUACAUAUAAAAUACAGAAGAUCAUUGAUGCAGCAGUGAUGAAUAAAUACAUUUUGAUAAAAUUAAAUCAAUAUUUUUAGGAAUCAAUACCAUAGUUUUUAGCUGUCACAUAACACUGUAGCUUAUCUUUUAUGUUUUAUGAAAAUGUAUUGGCUAUUUGAGAAUGGUGUUAUAUAUAUAUCUAUGUGUGUGUGUGUAUAUAUGUAUUAUUAUUUUUUUCCUGGGCUUCUUUGUUUAAUCUACUUGUGGAGCAAUUCUUUUGAAACCCCAUACAUUUAGCCACAGAUUACUUUUCUUAGUUCCUUUAGAAUGAAAUACCACUUAAGAUAUAGAGUAUCUGAACACUCAUAUACUAUUUAAAGGGACACGACAUUUUUAUUAUUUCAGUUUCAUAUUCUAGCUAUUUAUUUUUUUUUUUUUUGUUCAAAUAGAUUUGCCUUCUUGCAGAGAAACUAUUACAAAUAAUUUAAUACAUUUUGAUCAUGCUUUCAUUGCUGACUGAAUUGCAGUUGCUGCCAUGGUUCAUUUACUUAUACAAACUGUGCUCACACUGUUGUUCAAAAAUUCAACAUUAUCAGGUGAAAAAAAAUGUAUGAAGAUAGGAAGACAUCAUCCUGACCACUAAGUAAUGCAGAAUGAAAUACCAAUUGGCAAGUUCUUAACUCUGACUUUCAAAUACACCAUUUGCAUUGAUUUGUAACUACUUCCAAUAAGUGAUUAUGAUCUUUUAAAAAUAAAUAAAUAAAUAUUUCUGAAAGCUUCAGUAAACUAUGCUAUCAUAGAGUUUAAAGAAUUUAAAGCAAAUUACUCAAGGAAUAUUGCUCAAAGCAAGUGCUAUCCAAGGCAGUGACUUUUGUGGGUGACUGAGCACUGAAGCAAAUCUAUGAGGUUUGCUAAUGUAGACACUGAUUAUUUGCAAGAAGAUUCCUUUGCCGCAGAUGUUCUUGACAAAAGCAGUCCUUGAUCUUGCUGAUGUGAAUAUGUGCAAUGCUACACGUGUGUAGACACAAGGAUUUCAGUGGGAUUGUUCAUGUGGAUAAAAUUACUUGUGUGCCUGCAUGUCCAAGGCUCACGGCACUGGAGAGACUUAAUCAUUAAAAGGUGGAAUGUAGGCAUUUUUGUUAUAUUUUGUUAUACUGUGAAAAAUCACAAGUCAGCUUUAGUUACAGGAUUACUCUUCUCACAGAACAGGAUAUCCAAGGAAAUAAAAUGAACCAGAAGACAACAUUGUUCUGUAGUAAUAUAAGCUUUGAACAUUCUCUGCCGUAGGUUGCUCAGACUUCCAUUGACAUCAUGAGGGGGCUGUGUUUAGGUGAAUAAUUAUUUUGGCAAGGGCAAACAAAUGAAUAAAUGCUCAAGGGAUAGCUAAGCUAGAAGAAGAUGCAGCCAGAAUUCCAUGAUUCUUGCAUGUAAGGUUAUGAUUUUAGACACAACCAGAAUAUUUCACUCAGUUAGGUUUUUGCUCGUAAUCAGAAUUGAUUCACAAAUGCAUUAAUCUGCUAUAAGCACCCAUUUGCUGUCCAGACUGUUGGCCACAUAAGGCUCAAAAUGGGUCAUUUUGUAUUAAUAUGUAAAAAUAAAUUAAAGGGAAAUUGAUGGAUGGAUGCACAGAAAGACAUAAAUAAUAAGGAGGUGUUUGAAUAACCACCCCACAGAACAAAGCUCAAUAGAGAAAGUGUCAAUAACAAUGGUAACUUUCUAUUACCGGCUUUGUCAUUUUGAUAGUGGAAGCUUGACCAUAAGGAGAUAUCUCAUAUCCCAUAAGGAGAUAUUUCAUAUCAUAUUACAAAAUGGACCUUUAAGUCUUCAGUAUAGAUAGACAAGUAACUCCAUAGAAACUGCAGAUAUUUCCUGAGUUUCAGAUUUAUGAUUUACAAUAAUUUGGAUUACAAAGACUGCAGAUUUCCUUACCAGGAAAGAAUGAAUGAAUUCAUGCUCUGCUGUUUCCUCUUCACCUUGAAAUCUUGAUGAAGAUUUUUCAUUUUCAGAGAAAACUACUGUUUUGUGAAUGAUGUGUGCUUGGUACCAGAGGUUUUUAUUUAUUGCUCCUAAACUAAGACAGGAAUUUAGUAGUGCUGUUACUCCAAACUGACCAUAUAAUCAACAUAGAAAAUUAAAUCUUCCCACUAAUUUUAUAAGGGAGCAUUUGGGAACCUGUUUGCACAAAUUACAUACCUAGUAGAGAGGCCUAAUAUUACUCAGAUUCAAUUUAGACUUUAAGUGUCUUUGAAAUGUUCAAGAUUGAUUUUCACCCUGAAAUGAACUUUCCUACAAAAUUCCUAACAGGAAGUAUUGCAAUCUAACUUACACUGAUAAAGAUCAGUGGUAACCCUUCAAGUAAGUGUCUCAAAUGAAUAAUUUCCCAAGCUAAAGAGUUCCAUUUAAUAGAAUAUUUAUUGUGUGUUAAUUAAAGAUCAUUAAAAUCUUAUUUUGGGAGAACUUUAAUAACUCUAUGAGAACUGUAUAGAUAAACAGAGAAGAUACAUGUCUUUU